rnacentral:misc_RNA from 1 species
UAAUCGGCAGUCUGCUGCUCGCUCUAAAGAGAGAAAGGCACGAUAUAUACUAGAACUUGAGCGCAAAGUUCAGACCCUUCAAACAGAAGCCACCACUCUUUCUGCUCAACUCACCUUGUACCAGAGAGACACUACAGGGCUGAGUACAGAAAACACAGAGCUUAAGCUUCGGUUACAAGCUAUGGAGCAACAGGCUCAGUUGCGUGAUGCUCUGAAUGAGGCUCUGAAGAAAGAAGUUGAGAGGCUCAAGAUUGCCACUGGGGAAACAAUGAGCCCCUCUGAGUCAUUCAACUUGGGAAUGCAUCAAAUACCAUAUGCCCCAGCAAACUAUUUCCCACUUCCACAACAACCAGGACCUGCCAGUCAUCCAAACAUGCAGUUGCCACCAUUUUCACAUUCUCAACAUAAUAUGCCAGCUCACCAUCUUCAUCAAACACAUUCCCAUGCAGUCUCGGAAAUUAUGAAAAAUGAUCCACUUGGCCGAUUACAGGGGCUUGAUAUCAGUAGCAAAGGACCAAAUAUUGUAAAAUCAGAAGGCCCCUCGCUUUCUG